GAUGAACGCUGGCGGCGUGCCUAAUACAUUCAAGUCGAGCGAACAGACGAGAGUGCUUGCACUCUCUGACGUUAGCGGCGGACGGGUGAGUAACACGUGGGUAACCUACCUAUAAGACUGGGAUAACUUCGGGAAACCGGAGCUAAUACCGGAUAAUAUUUAGCUUCGCAUGAAGCAAUAGUGAAAGACGGUUCUGCUGUCACUUAUAGAUGGACCCGCGGUGUAUUAGCUAGUUGGUGAGGUAACGGCUCACCAAGGCAGCGAUACAUAGCCGACCUGAGAGAGUGAUCGGGCAAACUGAGACUAGGACACGGCACAGACGCUAAAGGGAGGCAGCAGUAGGGAAUCUUCCGAAAUGGACGAAAGUAUGACGGAGCAAUGCCGUGUGAGUGAAGAAGGUAUUCGGAUCGUAAAACUCUGUUGUAAGGGAAGAACGCGUACGUUAGUAACUGAACGUAACUUGACGGGACAGUACCAGAAAGACACGGAUAACAACGUG
rnacentral:rRNA from 1 species